GCUGUCGCUUUUAAGGAAGCCUUCCUUGUUUUUGAGUGGUGCAACUCCAAUAGAGUCCUGUCCUUUGCUCUUCAAGAAUGACCAAAAUCUUUUCGGUUUCUCAGUGUAACUGAGACUAAUGAUGUCAUUCAUAUACUCUUUGUGUGCUUUUCUUAUUUCCAUUUGUGUUUGUUGUUGGAGGUAUUUAUAUCUAUCUCUGUCUCUCUUUUUCUUUGUUUUCCUUGAUUUCUUGUAAGCUUUGUUUUCCUUCUUAUUAGACGCUUGAUGUUGGUAUUGAUCCAAGGAUGGGUAAAUUUUGUAGUUGUCAUCUUUGUUGGUACUUUCUGAUCAAUAAUUUUCAUGAUGUUUUCUUUGAAAUAUUUCCACAUGUUUUCAAUAUUACUGAAGGUCUUCUGGUUAAAAUUUUCAGCAAAUAACCUCACCUCAUUUUGUAUUUCAUCUAUGUUGGUUCUUUUCCAUAGUUGUAUUUUACGUUUAACCGGUUUAGGUUUUUGUGCUUUAAUUGAGGUAUCAAGAAGGACAAUGUCAUGGUCGCUGUUACCAAUAGCUGGAAUCGGUUUACAUCUCUGCUUAAAACUUGGAUGGCUAGUCAAGAUUAAAUCUAGAGUUUUUUCUUUUCUUGUAGGGAAGUCCACUAUUUGCUCAAGAUUAAUGUCUGCUACUAUGUCCAAGAAGGUUUGGUUCACUUUGGAUGGAUAUUGCGUACCAUUUAUGGCUA
rnacentral:lncRNA from 1 species